rnacentral:rRNA from 1 species
UAGGAGCCCCGGGGGGCCGCAGAGAAAUGGCCCAGGCGACUGUUUAGCAAAAACACAGCACUAUGCAAACCUCUAAGGGGAAGUAUAUGGUGUGACGCCUGCCCAAUGCCAAAAGGUUAAAGGGAUAUGUCAGCUGCAAAGCGAAGCAUUGAACCUAAGCCCUGGUGAAUGGCCGCCGUAACUAUAACGGUGCUAAGGUAGCGAAAUUCCUUGUCGGGUAAGUUCCGACCUGCACGAAUGGUGUAACGAUCUGGGCACUGUCUCAACGAAAGACUCGGUGAAAUUGUAGUAGCAGUGAAGAUGCUGUUUACCCGCGAAAGGACGAAAAGACCCCGUGAACCUUUACUGUACUUUGGUAUUGAUUUUUGGUUUGUUAUGUGUAGGAUAGCCAGGAGACUAGGAACACUCUUCUUCAGGAGAGUGGGAGUCAACGUUGAAAUACUGGUCUUAACAAGCUGGGAAUCUAACAUUAUUCCAUGAAUCUGGAAGAUGGACAUUGCCAGACGGGCAGUUUUACUGGGGCGGUAUCCUCCUAAAAAGUAACGGAGGAGCCCAAAGCUUAUUUCAUCGUGGUUGGCAAUCACGAGUAGAGCGUAAAGGUAUAAGAUAGGUUGACUGCAAGACCAACAAGUCGAGCAGAGACGAAAGUCGGGCUUAGUGAUCCGGCGGUGGAAAGUGGAAUCGCCGUCGCUUAACGGAUAAAAGGUACUCCGGGGAUAACAGGCUGAUCGCCACCAAGAGUUCAUAUCGACGUGGCGGUUUGGCACCUCGAUGUCGGCUCAUCGCAUCCUGGGGCUGGAGAAGGUCCCAAGGGUUUGGCUGUUCGCCAAUUAAAGCGGUACGCGAGCUGGGUUCAAAACGUCGUGAGACAGUUUGGUCUCUAUCCUUCGUGGGCGCAGGAUACUUGAGAGGAGCUGUUCCUAGUACGAGAGGACCGGAAUGGACGAACCAAUGGUGUGUCGGUUGUUUUGCCAAGAGCAUAGCCGAGUAGCUACGUUCGGAAAGGAUAAGC